AAAAUUGCAUUGCUACUCAUGCUUAACCAACUCUACCAGUGAGUUGCCAAGCUCAUGACAUCAUCACUGGCAACACACACUUCAGAUUAGAAGUAGCCUGAUGACAUCACCCUUCCAGUUUCUAUCUAACAGAUGGUUUCUGUAUAUUGUGUAAUUUUUGAUCAUUAUUCAUGGUUUUGGUCAGUAUAAUUCAGGAAGUGAAAAAACUGCCAAGAAAAAUUGACCUGGAACUAGUUCAAAGAGACUAAAUUAUUUUAUUGAUUAGACUCCUUAGCUUUCAUUUUCCAGCAGAGCCAUCAUGAAUCAUCGAUACACAAUAAUAUCUGAGCAAUUUCUGUGUGAGCUGAAUUAAGUGCUCCAAAACAAGGUAAGCUUUGAAGGAUCAGGCCUUGGAGUUGUUUGAAAACAAGAUAGUUAAGAUUUGCUGGGCAGCCCUGAAAGGGGGCCAGAAACUAUUUACUGAGCUAAGUGGCUUGUUUGAACUGGUUUUUUAUUUAUUUUCAUAUUCUACUUGUUGACUUCAUAUCCGCCUUCAGCCCAGCUCCAAGUCUCAGGGCAGGCCCUGUUUUUCACCCAUGUGAACGUGGGCCAGGCAGGAAGCGCCUCGAGAGGCCUCAGCAGAGCCAGGCCCAGCCCUGAGAUAAAGCACAGCACAGCACAGAGCAAGCCUGGAGGAGGGCAAGAAACACUAAGGGAAAGAGAAUAACAGAAAGCCUUGGAAUCUUAUUAUGAAGCUUGCAGAGAGUGCAGCCAUCAAGAAGGCUUCGUGCAAGAAAUAUUCAGAGGAAGUUUGCAGAGGCAGAAUGGCUUUACUGAUGACUGUCAGAAAAUCCUGGAUAUCUGCAGCAAGGAUUUUAUACAUGGUGCAUUCUAGCUUGAAGCUGCGACAAUCCGUAAGCAGUAAGGAUGAAACUUCUAAGAGCAAGAACCUUAAAGAAUGAAAAGAUCUUUACUCUGAGUAUACUGUGUGCCUCCUGUAGCUUCAAAGUGGUUUCUUGUGUUAACAAAAUUAAGUUUUCAGGUGGACAGAGUACAAAUUUAGAGAAAAGGUGUCUAGCUGUACCUCUCAUUUUUCUCUUCUUUCCCUUCAAAGAGCCAAGGGUACUUGACUAAAAGAUUCAGGGAUAUUUAAACCUGAAACCAAACUCCUCUCACCCCGACCUUGUGAAUCCCCCAAGCUGUUGGAAAUUCUGGCACGUUUAUGACCCACAGUCUAGGGCUUGCCUCUUUGUUUUAUUUUCUGGUGAAAAUACGUGUAAGUCUGAAGAUCAGCAAGCCAGCUUAUGCUCACUAUUGC
rnacentral:lncRNA from 1 species